UCCCCCUCCCCGGCCUCCCCACCGGCCCCGGGCACAAGAUGGCGCCGCCGCCCCGGCCCGGAGCCCCGACCGCCCGCAGCCCCCGCUGCUGCUGCCGCCGCCGCUGCCGCCGCCAUCGCCGCUCAGACUGGGGCCCGCCGCUUGGCGAUUGGAGAAUUGUGCCGGCCACGCCAAGGAUUCAUUAGUCAGUCAGCCUGCCCGUCACCUCGAGCUCGAACACUAUUGGGGAGUUCUACUUGGCAAUCAAACAAGACCCCACCUCUAAGGCGGGCCACUGCGCCAAAUUCUGUGAUCCCGGUAGGUGAAAUAUGCUUGUCAAUCAACACACCCCACCUCCUGUCGAGUCCUUAGGUAACAAUACGCCCGCACUGUGACGACUUUCCGCUCAUCCUCCGCCCAUGGGCGGGGCCACAACAUGGAGGAUGCUCCCGAUUGGUCCCUGACUAGCGAGUGGAAAGGCCUAAUCUUCCAAACGCCUCGCCGAAGGGGCCCAUUCUCAGAUGCCGAUUGGCUUGUGAGAUUCGACCAGCUGACACCCGUUAUGCGACAGGUGAUGAGUGCCUGCAGACAAGGGACCAAGUGCUGUUUAUAUUUGUAUCUAUAAGUGGUGAUAUACACUCAGCAGAGUACACGCUGUGAUUACUGACUGAUUGCUCCUUCUAGGUGCCACCUUUCAGCUGUAGUUUCUUAGCUUUCAAACCUUUCUUGAAGACCCCAGAGGACUUUCUCCACGCAAGUUCUCAAGACAGCUCUGCACCUUUAGAUAGCCAUGAGAGCUGGCCCUGGAGGCAGGAGGUUCCCACAAUCUAUUAGAAAUUCCCACGCAUUUACAGGGGUAAUGAAUAGCAGUGCUAAAUCCACAAGAAGACUUUUUGUAUCGAGACCAAACUACAAGUUUGAGAGGUGUAUGCAUAUAAACACAACCCCAAAGUUAACAUGGUUGGAGGGGGAGGGCUGGGCAAAACACCUCUAAGCAAACCAGAGUCAGAAGCACCACUCCUUACACCCCACUGUUGCCCACACUUCUUGGAAUUCCUUACCUCAAGAUGUUGGGAGCUGGGAGCAGAGUCAACCUCUUGCUGUGAAUUCAUCAGAACUAAAGUUGGCCACUGAAGAUGGGCACUCCAGAAGCAAGUUCUCUUAUACUGAUUGUAGCCAAUUCAACACUUGAAGGUUUCACAGCACCCAACUGAAUCAAGGCGACGACUUACGACUGAGCUCUGGCUGGUCUGAAGCUCAAUAUAUAGGCCAGGCUGGCCUUGAACUCACAGAGAUCAGCCUAUCUCUACCUCCCAAGCACUGGGAUUAAAGGUGUGUGCCACCACGCCCAACUAUUAAAUACCGUUUAAUUCUGCCUUUGGCAAGCCCA